rnacentral:misc_RNA from 1 species
AAACAAGUGAGCAGCGACCUUUCAUUGUGACUGAUACAGCGAUCUUUUCCCUUGUAAUAAUUAAUCCCCUUCUGAUUCUAGAUGAUAUCACCCAUAAGGCCCAAUAUUAAAUCCUGAACUCCUGAAGGACUAAAGAUAACUUACUUUUCCUGAGCCCAAAUUAACGUUAGUGUCCUCAUCCUGUAAGAAAUGUGAUUUAUGAAACGAAGAACAUGAACAGCCAGAUAAGCUCAUCUAAU